AAAGUCGUAACAAGGUUUCCGUAGGUGAACCUGCGGAAGGAUCAUUACAUUCAGUAGCCUAGCUAUUGUUCAGGGGGUUGUUAGUCUGCAUAGUGUAAAAGCUGAUGAGCAGCAGACCCCUUGUUUGUACCCUUGUUUUUUGUACCUAUUGUUUCCUCGGCGGGCUCGCUCGCCGGUUCAUAACCCUUUCAAUUUUUAAUCAGCGUCUGAAACAACGUAAUAAUUACAACUUUCAACAACGGAUCUCUUGGUUCUG
rnacentral:misc_RNA from 1 species